AACAGCACACCAGAAGUGGAACCUGCGGCUUAAUUUGACUCAACACGGGGAAACUCACGAGCGCAAGACAGAGAAGGGAUUGACAGAUUGAGAGCUCUUUCUUGAUUCUUUGGGUGGUGGUGCAUGGCCGUUCUUAGUUGGUGGAGUGAUUUGUCUGGUUAAUUCCGUUAACGAACGAGACCUUAACCUGCUAACUAGUCGCAUUGUGAAUAACGGUGUGUACUUCUUAGAGGGACUAUUGUGCAAGAAGCCAAUGGAAGUUUAAGGCAAUAACAGGUCUGUGAUGCCCCUAGACGUGCUCGGCCGCACGCGCGUUACAAUGACUGGCGCAGAAAGUUUUUCCUGGCCUGGGAAGGUUCGGGUAAUCUUAUUAAUACCAGUCGUGUUGGGGAUAGUUCUUUGGAAUUUUGGAUCUUGAACGAGGAAUUUCUAGUAAGUGCAAGUCAUCAGCUUGCGUUGAUUAUGUCCCUGCCGUUUG
rnacentral:rRNA from 1 species